rnacentral:snRNA from 1 species
AUGUUUGUUUGGCAGCACAUAUACUAAAACAGGAAUGAUACAGAAAAAAUUAGCAUGGCCCCUGUGCAAAGAUGACACACAAAUUCAUGAUGUAUUCCAUAUUUUU